rnacentral:rRNA from 2 species
UGGGGAAUAUUGGACAAUGGGGGAAACCCUGAUCCAGCGACGCCGCGUGAGUGAAGAAGUAUUUCGGUAUGUAAAGCUCUAUCAGCAGGGAAGAAAAUGACGGUACCUGACUAAGAAGCCCCGGCUAACUACGUG